AGCUUUGUGCAGUGGCAGUAUUACAGCCAAUGAGGUUUAUCCAAGGCGCGAUUAUUGCUAAUUGAAAACAUUCACUAUAUAUUUCAACCACAUCUCAUAUAUUUUAAAAUUAUAGAUUAGAAUUAUUACU
ensembl:snRNA U4 U4 spliceosomal RNA